ensembl:lncRNA
AUCUGGGGUUAGGUCCACUAUUCCAAAAGUAUAAUUAGAAUAAUGCAGUCCUCACGUUAGCAUGUAUUCUAGGUAGCAGCCAUAAUGGACUAUAUAUGGUUGUAGUGUGUUACCUAAAAUAUUUUGGAUGCCAUUCAUUUUUUUCUGGGUAAUUUUGUUUAUGUUCUAUAAACUAAAUUUCAUUGCCUGCUAUUUAAUUAUUUACUUAUAUCCUUCAAGAUUCCAAAAAAGGGUUUAAUGCUGCUUCCUUUGCUGCUAUAAUCUUCCUCAAGGAUACCCCCCUACACACACACUCAUGUGCAUGUGUGCAAGUUUAUGAUUUCCAGAGGAAGGUGAAUUUGGAAGUGACUGGUUAUAGGCAGAUUUGAGAGUUGUAACUAAUGACUUCUGACAAUCAGAAAAUGUUAUUACUGCAACAAGCAUCUUUAAUAUGUUUUUAUUUCCAUGAAUCCUGUUAGGUAAGUAGUAGUGUUUGAGCUAGAUUAAGAUAUUAAGUGGAUGUUGGUCUGAAGACAUCCUGUGUCUCAUAAGGUGGGAUAGCAUGUGCUAAGGUCUUAUUGCUACAGGUACUAUCGCCCCAUACUGUGGUUCAUAGAGUGGAGCGUUCCUUCCCUGCUUUCCCUCUGACUGCUUCUUACUGUGUUCACAGAGAAGAACUGAAGUUACAAUGCUCCGGUCCUGAAGAUGCCAGAAACUGGAUUAAUCAAGUCAAAGGACCGAGCUGGCAUUUGCCCUGGUCUUCCCGUCUCGCUUCCUCCUUCUAACAGAUAUGUAGGGGGUGUCCACUGGCUAUGAGGCCCCAUGCAAGGCACUGACAAUAUUGGGUGAGAAAAAAAAGAAAUAUUUUCUGCCUGCAUGUAGUUUGCAGAUAAUAGGAGUUAAGUAGGCGUUAAUCAGAGUCACAUGAGCACCUGAUCACAAUCAGAAACAGAUGCUGUGAAGGAUCAACUCAAGCUGCUCUGAGAGUAAAAGGAUUUAACCUGAGAGGCAGGGCGUGGCCAGGGGGGCAGACGGUCUCGCUGAGGAAGCUGACGUUUGCCUGAGACCGGAAGUAGGAACAGGAGGUUUUGGGUGGAAACUGAGAACAAGGUAUUUGGCAAAGAAGUUUGUUGAGGCCCUGGUAGAACGAUUGUCUCCAAACGUCCUUUUUCCUAAGAGAUCCACUCUUGGGAAGUACAGUCACUGCUCCACUGAACAAGGAAAAUGAUCCAUGAUGAUGAAUAAAAGCAUUACUUUAAUGUUAAUCUUCAUGGAAGAGAACCUACACCUACCGGCAGGAAACAGUUCAUCUGUUUAAUGUUUGAGUUCCAGGUGGCUCUACUCAAGGAUGGAUCUUGGCGGUUGGGAGUCAAGAAGGAACAAGAAAAGACCAGAGCCAGAGGUCAUGUUUGGGUUACCAAUGAAGUCAGUUUUCCAGAUGACAAUUUUUCAGAUUUUCUUAUUAACCUACAGAUUCUCCUGGAAGUAGACUCUCCCAUCAAGCCUGAAAGUCACUGCACUUUUUUUGUGCUUAUCUUCUCCAGGGAAGAAGUCUUGAAAACUCAGAUGCCAUCACCAGCUCUUCUUCCCAACCUCCCAUUUGCUGUUGAACUGCCGCACUCUGACAUCAUCCUGACCAGUCACUGACAGGACCCCCUGAAAACCAAAUCCAGACAGUGCUUGUAAAAGGUACUGCACAGGACUGUUCUACUCCACUUGACAAUCAAGAGCUCUUUGUACUUAUUGAACUUUUCCUUGGUUUCUGCUCUCCUUAUUCUUCUCCAGCCUAUCUGGUCCAUCUUUCUCCUCUUAGCCUAAAAUGGUGUUGUUUCCCAAGGUACUAACU